AAGACACUAGUAAAAUAAUUACCCUACUUUGUCAAGGUAGGAUUGUGAGUUAGACUCUUGCGUGCCUUA
rnacentral:tRNA from 1 species